ACCCCUCUCCACCCCGCUUGUUUCGGCAAGUUGCUCAGGGCUUGGGAUCAUGGACGCUUUGUCGGGACUUUGGUGUUUCGACUACGCUGAAAUUGAACAAGCUGGAUCCGCCUUGCGGCUUGACCUGUUGUUGUAAACUAAAUUCAAUGGGAACGCAAGCGAGGAACGAGCUUACCAGAACCGCCUUUCGGGGCACAGUGCA
rnacentral:misc_RNA from 1 species